AGUGAACGCUGGCGGUAGGCCUAACACAUGCAAGUCGAACGGCAGCACAGUAAGAGCUUGCUCUUACGGGUGGCGAGUGGCGGACGGGUGAGGAAUACAUCGGAAUCUACUUUUUCGUGGGGGAUAACGUAGGGAAACUUACGCUAAUACCGCAUACGACCUACGGGUGAAAGCAGGGGAUCUUCGGACCUUGCGCGAUUGAAUGAGCCGAUGUCGGAUUAGCUAGUUGGCGGGGUAAAGGCCCACCAAGGCGACGAUCCGUAGCUGGUCUGAGAGGAUGAUCGGCCACACGGGAACUGAGACCCGGUCCAGCCCCCUACGGGAGGCAGCAGUGGGGAAUUUUGGAAAAUGGGCGCAAGCCUGACCCAGCCAUCCCGCGGGGGUGAAGAAGGCCUUCGGGUUGUAAAGCCCUUUUGUUGGGAAAAAAAAGCAGCAGGUUAAUACCCCGCUGUUCUGACGGUACCCAAAGAAUAAGCACCGGCUAACUUCGU
rnacentral:rRNA from 1 species